ACACCGGAGGGUUGCAGGGCAACCGGGAGCCAGAUUCGUGCCAACUCCUUCCUUCCCUGCCGGAUGGGAGGCUGCUAACUCCCGAUGACUUGGUUUGAACGCUCCGCAGAGAUGCCUGGAAGAAAAUUGUUCAUUUGACUCUCCUCCUCUUCCCAAAAUAAAAUCAAGACACCAGCACACACGCGUGCGCGCACGCACACACACACACACACACACACACACACACACACUAAAUCAAGUAGGACAAGACAAAAAACAAUACCACUGCCAGAAGAGCAGCAAACUCAGAUCAGCCAGAGUCCGUGGACAGCAGGGUAUUCAUGCAGACCGUCCCCCUGGGCAAAGGUAUCCGGUAUUUUGUUCCUGUAACUGGAAAGCUGCCUAGUAUUAAGCCUCAGGAAACCAAGGCUCAGAAAGGAAUGAAACCUCUCAAUGCUGUAAGACUAAGCCAGAGGGAAGGUGCACAGUCCCUGCUGUCCUGGGGCCCCAAGACAGACCCCACGUGUCAUCCUCCAGCCGCUAGCAUGGAAGGAAGCCCAGUCCUCCCUCCCCAGCCUCCACUCAAACUGCUGCGCUCGUGGGAAUCACCUGGGGGGUUAGAGUUGCAAACAGUGAAACUCUCAUAUUGGAGUAAAUAGUCAGGGGAUUCCUUGGCUGCAGUUAGCAAAGUCCCCGGAAGGGCCCAGGCUCUAUCCAGCGCCACCACGGAGAGAGUUUGAUUUCCUCUCCUGACUUCUGUGCAGCUGGCUCCAUCUUCCCACCUACCUCUCCUUUGAGGCCUUAAAGUGAGUGGCCCCGACCGCUCCCAAUCCAGAGACAGGCCUUCCAAAAAAGCCUUUGGAAUCUCCCUCAGAAGAGCAGAGCUCAUUCCCAAGUCUCCUCUGCUUGUUCGAGAAUUACCAGUGUGCUCGCCCUGAGCCCAUGACUGUGGCCAGAAGGUGGAGCAGGAUUCUGAUGCUGAGCUCAGGCCCAAGCUUACAGACUCCCCCUGCAGGAUCCUGGAGGGGGUUCCGUUAGCAUCCUCCAGGGGCUAAAUGCAGAGAAAGCUGGCACAUCACGUCCAGAGAAGGUCUCGCGGACACCAGGACUUGUGGGAUAUUCCCUCGCACCUCGCAGGUCCCACACUCUACCCUUGCCCAGGAAGUGUGAGGAAUCGGAGGACAUCCCCAGGAGCAACCUACACCCAGUGACGAUAGGACCAGUGCAUGGACAACCCCUUUCAGUGGCACAUUCGGGGUGCAUGUCUGUCAGCAGCUCUCACAUCUGCAUGAUGGGAUGAAAGUCCAGUUGCCCACAGCAGUAACCAGCUAGUGAUCCCUACCAGCCCUAACCCUGGCCGGUGACCCACCUGUUAGGUUCUCCUUUCUGUCUCCUUCUCCUGUCCUCUCUUUCCUCCCCAAGGUCCCUGGCACCAUAUUGCCCUUGAAUUCUUCACUUGGGGUCCACUUCUGGAGAACCCAAAGAAAACAGCUACCCUACUACAAAGCCCUUGCUGGUGUUGGCUUGGCCAUGGUCCCGGGUAGGCUCAUCCUACAAAUGUAAACUUGCAGUGUUGUGACGUGGUGGUGGGCACCCGGGCAGCAGCUGUCCGGGAUCAGGGAGACAGAGCGCACUCCGUCCGUCCGGAGCGGACUCCUGCACCUCCGCCGCCUCCUCUGCGCCAUGUGCUGCUCCCUGCAGCGACCAGACGGGAGGCGUUACUCAGCACCCGCUCCGCUGCGAGACCUGUGCUGCAGAUCCGGACAUCUGGAGCCCUUUGGAUUCCUCCAGGAAAAAGAACGGGAACGCAAAAGACUGACUCAGCAUAUGGUAAAUCCUAGUUUUUAAUAGAUCUUUUCCGGGAGCUUUCACUGAAAACAAACUAUUAGUCUGGUUGAGAGAUUAAAAAAAAUAAAUAAAUCCUUCCUCAAAAGAUGGCAGACAUUAAUUUCUAAGCUUGCUUCUGAAAGAUGUAAUCUCUCCUUUCGGGCCUGCUAAUGUGAUCUGUAUGACAAUAAUUUACCGAUUUAAUUAAUUGCCAGAUAGCUUUGCAUGUGUGGACGCAGCAUUGGCAAAUGGCUGAUUUCUAUCAGAAAAAGAUGUGUCAGCUGCUUCAUUCAGGGAUGAGCUAGAAACCAAGGCGAUUGCUAUUUCAGAGGUGGCUCCUUUCAGAGGGAAAUUCUCUGGAGUCUUACAAGGAGGCCUGAUUCCUCAAGUCUGAGAAGGAAGGGAAUUGAAAGGUACUGAGUUCCAGUACUGCCUGCCUUUACAGCUGAGAGAGCCAAAGUUCCAGAAAGGAAAAUGGCCCAUCUUUAAGAUUACUGUCAGCACACACCAAGGAAAGUGACCAGCAUCUAUGUGGUUGAGAGCUCACCCCACGGACCUCCUCCCACUCCCCUGAGACAAAAUGCUUUUCUGCUCCCAGUGGGCUGGGCCGGGUGCUGCUGGAUCAAUAGCUUAACAGCAGAGGCAGGAAAAAUGUCUGGCCUAGAAUUGGGGACCAGGGUUGCAAUAUAUGAACUUAGGAGUCAUCAGGGGACAUAACAUUGAGGUCACAGCCUUCAGGAAAGCAAGUCUCAAAAUGCCCUGCCCCGUGGAGUUGGGACUUUUCAAAGAAUACGGUGACAUUUACACCCAGGGUGAAGCUGGUGGGUGGAAAUUUGGGGAGCAGCCCAGACAGCACUGCUCCGGGGCCCACGAACGACGGGUGCAGAGGUGGGAGGGCAGGAGAAGGCGGCACUCGGGGGACGAGUCAAGUCACUGAGCCUGUCUGGGAUGCGGAGUGGGAGGCCUGAGGGGAGGAGAGGACGGCGGGAGGUGACGCGAGGUGAGGCUGAGACUUGCACGGAGACAGAAACCAGCAGAAGCACUGAGAUGGAGCUAGAGCAAGACGGAAAACCUGCUGUCAGAAACGGAACCUGAGACAGAGCAGAAAGUCCCAGUGCAGACAAGGUGACAGGUGCUGCGAAGCCCCCUCCUCCCUGGUCCACACCGCUGGGCCUUAUUUUCACACGGAGACAGAGUCCCACACUGUAGUAAGUUAAGGCUUUGGCGGGCUGAGAGGGUGGAUGUUUCUGCUCCUUCAGAGCUGCAUAUUAGGAGCCCAGAGCGGUUCUAGACUCGGCUCGGCCACGCUGCUUGGGUGAGCAGUGGAGGCACAGUGGCCUCCGGAGGUCCAGCUUCUGAACCCUCCCUGACCCUGACUGCUGGCCGGAGGGGCUCAGCGUCUUCGUUUGUACCAGAUGUGUGCACUUUUUUCCUCAAGUAGAAACUUAGCAGGAUUUGUGCCUGCAGUGGCCCGGAUCUGAAAUGUUCCCCAGAGCUCAGCUGCUGAAGACCCCCGUGCAGCUGUGUGCAGAGGCGCCCUCUGCCGUGACAGUUCUGUCCCCACAGGCCUAGAAGCAAUGGAGUCAAUUAACCAUGGCCUGAACCCUCUGAAGCCAUGAACUACGUAGGCCUUUCUUCCUCUGUGUCAUUUUUCUCUUGCAUCACAUCAACAGAAAGCUGACUAAUGAGAGCCUGCCUUUAUUUGUGCUGUGUUUGGUGUACGUUUGCCACAGAAGAGCUCGGGAACAGAUCGCACGUGUCUUGUUCAUGGUAAACACACAGUAGGUGUCCAACAGCAUCACUUUAUUAGGAGAAAAAGGAGAAAGAUGUUGAGCACAGUGACGAUGGAGGGCAGGUUGGGUGACCCUCGUGGGGUUCCCUGAGGGAGGUCAUCAACUUGAUACUUCUAGAAGAGGUACUGAGCACUAGGAACAGAGGUGGGGAGGCUCCACAAUCAUGGCAGCCACCAGAAAAUCGCACAAAUGCUGGCUUCUCCUCCCAAUCACCUGCACGGAGGGACGGGGGGGAGGGAGGACAGGGAAAAGCCUGGCUCCUGGAGGCUCCUGAAGUUGUCCCAAGCUCCCCAAGGACCUAGGGAUGGUUCCUAAAAAUCCUGAUUCCUACCCUCCUCCUAAAGAGAAGAAAUAAGAGUUUUCUCCUUUCUGGUUAAAACUGAAUAUUUCCAGGUAUUGAAACCCUUUGGAUUUUCUAAGAGUGAAAAGGUAAGAUGAAUUCAUGACAGAACAAAGGAGCAAUGACAGCUCUCCUGACAAAGAGGAGCAGUGGGAGACGGACCGGCACAGGCUGUGACAGGCCCCCAAGUCCAUAACAAGGUGAAUAAGUGCGAGGAAAUGAAGGGGGGCGCCAAGCCAAGCCAAAAAUGUCACAGGAAUGGUGGCGUUAGAAAGCCUUCUGUGGAGGCUAAAACUAACUGGUUAGCUGGACAAAUAGCAAGAUAAUCAUCAAUCGCAAAGUGUCUCCCACAAAUUACACAUUCAUUACAAAGGGGAAACUGUGACUGCCAACGGAAACGCCUGCUAACCAUGGGCAACCAAUCUCACCAGGAAUGACACACACAAGAGCGGGUUCCUCCCGGUGUGAUGCACAGAGAAGGCAGGAUCCGUCUACGUUACUGCUGCCCCAAAUGCAAACUCUGUAUCGGCUGCAGGGAAGCAGCAGGAAGGCCAGUCUGAAGGCAUUCUGUAAAGUAACAGCUCUGAAUAAGUCAGCUUCCCACCACUGUGACAAAAUACCUGAGAACAGUAACUUAAAGGAGGAGAGGCUCAUGGUUUAAGGGGUUUCAGUCCAUGGUCAGCGGACUCCACUGUUUUUAGGCUGGCAACAUUAUGCAGAAGGUUGCUCACCUCAUGGUGGCCAGAGUGAGAGGCACACAAAAGUUGGAGACAAGAUAUACCCUUCCCUGACCUAGUUUCUCCAACUGGACGAUCCCUCCAGGUAUGGACUCAUCUGUGUCUGAACUUAUCAGCUGAUGAGUCCAGUUAUCUGUGGGGGUGCCUCCUCUGAAUGUCACUGCACUGAGACCAAGCCGUUAACAUGUGAGCCUUUGAGGGGAGGUUUAAGAUUCAAACCCAAACAAAACCUGAACAUUUCAGAAGUGUCAAAGCUAAGAGACAAAGAAGAAUUGAGAGAUGUUUCAGAUUAAAGGAUGCUAAGGUGCAGUGACAACUCAGUGCAGGGCAGAAAUCAGGACUGCAUCCUGGGCAGAAAUAAAUGGAUCAUUACUGGGGCCAUUAAGGGCAUUUGAAAGUGGACUGCGGAUCAGAUGAUGUUAUAGCAAUGCUGAAAACCAAACUGUGGCUCUGUAUGGGAAUGUCUUUUACCCUGGGAUGUGUAUAUGUGUAUAACUUCGGGCUAGCCAGCUGACUCCCUGAGCCUCAGUUUUCUCACUUGGAAAAUGGGGCUAAUAAGAGAAGCUUUGCUUACAGGAUUACUGUAGAUUUGAUAAGGCAACUCACAAGGCCUGAAAACAGUCUCUAGUGCUCAGAGAUGCUUGGUAACUGUGAGAAGCAGCUAUAAAUCUAAAAGUCUCAGAGCAAGGAGGAAUCUUCAAUCUUCUGGUCUCCUUUUCCCUCAAAAUAUAGGUCUUCUGGGAAAUGGUCUCCAUGAAGAGAAGAUGGCGUAUUCUAAACUCCGAACCACAGAAAGACAGAGCUAGGAGGGUCUAACCCUUUUGUUUUACAAACAGGGAACCUGGAGCCUAGGGUGGUCAAGAUCAAAUGGUUUACCAAGCUUAGUGUGACUCGUUUUAAUUAACACCUGCUAUGUGUGAGAACAGUACUAGACACUUCAGGGGUUACAAAGAUAAUCCGGCACAGGUACUACGUGUGAAAGCGUGUGUGUGCGCCUUUAUUAUAAAGUGUUGAUGGAAACAAAUCAGAAGAAAUCCUUGCCCACAACUCCCCGUGAAAUCUCACCUGUCCCCCAACCUGCAUUUUUCAAGCUUCCCUCCCCGUCGCUUCUUGAACCUGGAAGUUCAAAGCCUUCCCCACUUCUCUAUGUAAGCUUUGCAUUUUCAGGAGCUCCUUACUACCUUUGGGAAAAAAACCUCAAAUGCUUCCUCCAGCCUAACCACACAAAGCAGCCCUGUGAGUAGAGAGACAUCCAACCACAACAUUUGUUGAGCACCUACUAUGGGUAUAGCCCCUGGGAGGCUGCCGGCAGGAUAUGAAAAAGAAUGUGUUUGCUUUACAGUCAGCAGCUUACCCCACGGCCGGGGAGCUGACAUGCUUGGAAAUACGGUAGCAACACCAAACAGUACAGAGAGCGUAGCUCCAAGUGUGGGGCUGGAGAGAAUCCUGCAGCUCUGGCGUCAGGAAGCUCAUUUGGGUGAGGGAUGCGUGACACACGCCCAGCAGUGUGUCUGUGGUCAGUGUGUGGGAGACCAGUGCAUGUGGGGCCUCGUGUGUCCCACGCACCUGCUGUAGUCAAGGGUUGUGGAUAGCAAUUGUGCACAGGACACAGAAUUUGUCACGUUAUUUUAUAAUGAUCACCCAGAGUUAAAUACAAGAAAGUGCAGGAAAUCUGUCCGCAACACUACAGACCUAGAAGAUCUAGCCGAGGGCCUGGAUCCCACAGCAAUGUCCUGCGUGAGUCCAGCUGAAGACCUAGAGCUCGUGACGGUGCCUCCCGUGAGUCCACCUGGAGGCCCAGAGCCCACGACAGUGACCCAUGCAAGUCUGUUGUAGGGAUCUGCGCUGGGAAGGCCUGAAGGUCAGCAGUGGAAGCUAAACAGUCUGUGCCAGCGGGGUGAAGGAUUUGUGCCAGUAGGUUGAGGGUGCUGCCCCGGAGCCAAGAAGCAACACUCGAACCAAGGGCCAGGGCUCCCCGGAAGAGUGCAGCAGCCACUCUCAGUGACAAGGUCCUGAGCUCCUUCCAUGAUAACGGCCCAGUUCACAUGGGGAAGCCAGCAUGACGAGCUCCUCUGGGAGAACCAAUGGCUCUAAACAGCAACACUUAGGAGAACCCACAGCACCUCUCUUCCUCUCCACGUCCCCUUUUCUACUGGCCACUGUCCUGGGGUGGGCCAUCUAUACUCAGCACCAUGCUGACUCAGUUCAGGUGGUGUUAAACUGACCACUAGUUUUUAAUCCCUAACACCCCCUUCUGCCCUCCUAAGAGGGCGAUUAGAUCAUGGACAAGCCGGGCUGUGUGAGAGCAGAAGCAAGACCUUGUGGUGGUAGGGCUGCUGGCUGCGGGCCCAGGGCAUGUAGGGGCCUCUAGCAGAUGGCAGGAAACAAAUCCCCCCAGGUUUCCUACAACAUGCACAGCCCUGCCCGCACGUUGAUUUUUGCCCCGAGAGUCCCAUUCUGGGCUUCUGAUCACAGUUACAAUAAAUCUGCAUGGUUUAAGCCACUAAGAGUAGAAGAGUUUGCUACAGCAUUGAUUAAAAAAUGAAAGCAUGCACCACAGUCGCCCCAAGCGCCCUGGGCCCGCACAACCCCGAGGUCAGAGGCAGUGUUUAUCCAGCAAAGAACCCGGCUUUGUCCCCCGGACCGGAGGGACCCUGGCUGGUGACAGCCCAGGCUAGGCCGGGGUUUCCUGGUGGUUCCUGAAUCUGCUUAGUUUUGUACACAGCUAGCUUUACAUUUAAAUUCUCCUUGAAUAACCCAGUCUGAGAAUGCCAGCUGUUUCUGGCUGUGUUCCUCAUCAAUCUUUUCAUAAAAUUCUCAUCAAUUGUAUCCCUGGAGGAAGAGAAAAGUCUUUCCCCUAGACUUCCGCACAUUCCGGAACAUUCUAGAAUAUUCCUCUCCCUAAAUUUCCACUUAUGCCAGAUAUUGAUUUCCUCAUGGCCCUCCCAGGACCUGGGCUCCAGGUGCCAUCGAUGCUGCUCAGCUACAUGAGCAUCACACCAGCUCUGCUUCAGCUUCCCAUGCGAAUCUACUCACAGCAGGAGGCUUUUUUCACUGCACUGUAUGCAGGUACGGCAUCGUUACACUAUACUCUAUAGAUUAUAUAAUCAAAAUAAUAACAAAAUUUAAGAAUAAAGAAUUUAACAACCUCCUCUUAAGCCAAAUGUUUCACAAAGAUAUAUAAAUAGUGCAGCAUAAGCAAUGGCUGGUGACCACUGAAGACAUCCAAUCCCAAGACACCUCCUGGGAUUUUGCGUGCACCCACCUCUCUCCAGCCUGCUGAGACCUCGCCUCCUCUUCCCCUCUCUUUCCCCUUCCACCCUCUGGAGCUUAGAGUGAGACUGGGGUGAGGGGACAGAAAGUGCACACCUUCCCCAAACUCUCCCCAAAGCAAUCUUCCAAACAAAGACGGCUCCGUCUAUGCCUGGGAAGAAUUCCAGUGGAAAUAACACUGUUCACUCCUGCAAAAGUGGUGAGAAUUUGCAGUCUGGAGGCUGAGGUCCCAGGGAAGGUUAAGAAGCAAACAUUAAAUGAGAGGAAAGAAGGGGCACCUUGAUGGCGGGAAUACGCAGCAGCAGCGGAGAGCUCAGGAAGAAGGUUCUGGUAGCUGCCAGACUGAAGCAAGUCAGUGUUGAUUACUCAGGUUUGUCUUGAGCUGUGGUCCAGCCCACCAUCCCCAACCCUUCAGUGAAAUCCGCUACACUCAUCUCACCUCCUCUGUUGACUCUGAGGCUAACUGAACGGUAUCACCAGGCGAGACAUCGCACAAAUCCCUACAGAAUUUCCCCCCAGGCAUGGCCAGGAAAACAGAAUCCCUGUGAGAAUUCUCAGAUGCAACCAAGAAGGAUCCCUGUUAAUGGGACAAGUAGCGGGGAGCAGGGAGGGCUGGGAGCUGUUAGGGUUGAUACACUGUGUCAACUUGAGCAGUUUAGAACUGUAAUAAGAGACUCAGCAGGGAGCCGGGAUCUUUGUAAAUAUCCUCACAUUGUGACAUUGGUCUGCAGGCAGCAUAAGGGGGGGAAAGAGGCUCGCUCUUCCCCACUUUUCUCUGGCGGCCUUUUGCUGGCAGCUGCCUUGAAGUGUUGCCCCCGUGCCAUGCCACCCUGCCUUGCAGCCAGCUAAUUAUGGACUGAAACCUCUACAAACUGUGAGCUAAAUAAACCUUUCCUUCCUUCA